rnacentral:rRNA from 1 species
GGAUUACCUCAGUAACGGCGAGUGAAGCGGUAACAGCUCAAAUUUGAAAUCUGGGCCCCUCGGGCCCCGAGUUGUAAUUUGUAGAAGAUGCUUCGGGUGCGGCUCCGGUCUAAGUCCCUUGGAACAGGGCGUCAUAGAGGGUGAGAAUCCCGUAUGUGAUCGGCGGCCUGCGCCCGUGUGAAGCUCUUUCGACGAGUCGAGUUGUUUGGGAAUGCAGCUCUAAAUGGGUGGUAAAUUUCAUCUAAAGCUAAAUAUUGGCCAGAGACCGAUAGCGCACAAGUAGAGUGAUCGAAAGAUGAAAAGCACUUUGGAAAGAGAGUUAAACAGUACGUGAAAUUGUUGAAAGGGAAGCGCUUGCAACCAGACUUGCGCGGGGCCGAUCAUCCGGGGUUCUCCCCGGUGCACUCGGCCUCGCUCAGGCCAGCAUCGGUUUCGGUGGUGGGAUAAAGGCCGGGGGAAUGUGGCUCCUCUCGGGGAGUGUUAUAGCCCUCGGUGCAAUGCCGCCUACCGGGACCGAGGACCGCGCUUCGGCUAGGAUGCUGGCGUAAUGGUUGUAAGCGACCCGUCUUGAAACACGGACCAAGGAGUCUAACAUCUAUGCGAGUGUUUGGGUGUCAAACCCAUACGCGUAAUGAAAGUGAACGGAGGUGAGAACCCUUAAGGGUGCAUCAUCGACCGAUCCUGAUGUCUUCGGAUGGAUUUGAGUAAGAGCAUAGCUGUUGGGACCCGAAAGAUGGUGAACUAUGCCUGAAUAGGGUGAAGCCAGAGGAAACUCUGGUGGAGGCUCGCAGCGGUUCUGACGUGCAAAUCGAUCGUCAAAUUUGGGUAUAGGGGCGAAAGACUAAUCGAACCAUCUA